AGUGAAGCGGCAACAGCUCAAAUUUGAAAUCUGGCUCUUUCAGGGUCCGAGUUGUAAUUUGUAGAAGAUGCUUUGGGUGUAGCUCCGGUCUAAGUUCCUUGGAACAGGACGUCAUAGAGGGUGAGAAUCCCGUACGUGACUGGGUGCCUUCGCUCGUGUAAAGCUCUUUCGACGAGUCGAGUUGUUUGGGAAUGCAGCUCAAAAUGGGUGGUAAAUUUCAUCUAAAGCUAAAUAUUGGCCAGAGACCGAUAGCGCACAAGUAGAGUGAUCGAAAGAUGAAAAGCACUUUGGAAAGAGAGUUAAACAGUACGUGAAAUUGUUGAAAGGGAAGCGCUUGCAACCAGACUUGCACGCUGUUGAUCAUCCGAGGUUUUCCCCGGUGCACUCGGCAGUGUUCAGGCCAGCAUCGGUUUUGGUGGGCGGAUAAAGGCCUUGGGAAUGUAGCUUCUUUCGGGAAGUGUUAUAGCCCUCGGUGCAAUGCGCCCUACCGGGACCGAGGACCGCGCUUCGGCUAGGAUGCUGGCGUAAUGGUUGUAAGCGACCCGUCUUGAAACACGGACCAAGGAGUCUAACAUCUAUGCGAGUGUUUGGGUGUUAAACCCAUACGCGUAAUGAAAGUGAACGGAGGUGAGAACCCUUAAGGGUGCAUCAUCGACCGAUCCUGAUGUCUUCGGAUGGAUUUGAGUAAGAGCAUAGCUGUUGGGACCCGAAAGAUGGUGAACUAUGCCUGAAUAGGGUGAAGCCAGAGGAAACUCUGGUGGAGGCUCGCAGCGGUUCUGACGUGCAAAUCGAUCGUCAAAUUUGGGUAUAGGGGCGAAAGACUAAUCGAACCAUCUAGUAGCUGGUCUG
rnacentral:rRNA from 1 species